GAUGAACGCUGGCGGCGUGCCUAAUACAUGCAAGUCGAGCGAACAGACGAGGAGCUUGCUCCUCUGACAUUAGCGGCGGACGGGUGAGUAACACGUGGAUAACCUCCCUAUAUGACUGGGAUAACUUCGGGAAACCGGAGCUCAUACCGGAUAAUAUAUUUAACCGCAUGGUUCAAUAGUGAAAGACGGUUUUGCUGUCACUUAUAGAUGUAUCCGCGCCGCAUUAGCUAGUUGGUAAGGUAACGGCUUACCAAGGCGACGAUGCGUAGCCGACCUGAGAGGGUGAUCGGCCACACUGGAACUGAGACACGGUCCAGACUCCUACGGGAGGCAGCAGUAGGGAAUCUUCCGCAAUGGGCGAAAGCCUGACGGAGCAACGCCGCGUGAGUGAUGAAGGUCUUCGGAUCGUAAAACUCUGUUAUUAGGGAAGAACAAAUGUGUAAGUAACUAUGCACGUCUUGACGGUACCUAAUCAGAAAGCCACGGCUAACUACGUG
rnacentral:rRNA from 1 species